rnacentral:rRNA from 1 species
AAUGGGUCAGCGACUUAUAUUCUGUAGCAAGGUUAACCGAAUAGGGGAGCCGAAGGGAAACCGAGUCUUAACUGGGCGUUAAGUUGCAGGGUAUAGACCCGAAACCCGGUGAUCUAGCCAUGGGCAGGUUGAAGGUUGGGUAACACUAACUGGAGGACCGAACCGACUAAUGUUGAAAAAUUAGCGGAUGACUUGUGGCUGGGGGUGAAAGGCCAAUCAAACCGGGAGAUAGCUGGUUCUCCCCGAAAGCUAUUUAGGUAGCGCCUCGUGAAUUCAUCUCCGGGGGUAGAGCACUGUUUCGGCAAGGGGGUCAUCCCGACUUACCAACCCGAUGCAAACUGCGAAUACCGGAGAAUGUUAUCACGGGAGACACACGGCGGGUGCUAACGUCCGUCGUGAAGAGGGAAACAACCCAGACCGCCAGCUAAGGUCCCAAAGUCAUGGUUAAGUGGGAAACGAUGUGGGAAGGCCCAGACAGCCAGGAUGUUGGCUUAGAAGCAGCCAUCAUUUAAAGAAAGCGUAAUAGCUCACUGGUCGAGUCGGCCUGCGCGGAAGAUGUAACGGGGCUAAACCAUGCACCGAAGCUGCGGCAGCGACGCUUAUGCGUUGUUGGGUAGGGGAGCGUUCUGUAAGCCUGUGAAGGUGUGCUGUGAGGCAUGCUGGAGGUAUCAGAAGUGCGAAUGCUGACAUAAGUAACGAUAAAGCGGGUGAAAAGCCCGCUCGCCGGAAGACCAAGGGUUCCUGUCCAACGUUAAUCGGGGCAGGGUGAGUCGACCCCUAAGGCGAGGCCGAAAGGCGUAGUCGAUGGGAAACAGGUUAAUAUUCCUGUACUUGGUGUUACUGCGAAGGGGGGACGGAGAAGGCUAUGUUGGCCGGGCGACGGUUGUCCCGGUUUAAGCGUGUAGGCUGGUUUUCCAGGCAAAUCCGGAAAAUCAAGGCUGAGGCGUGAUGAC